UACGAGGGGUGCAAGCGUUGCUCGGAAUUAUUGGGCGUAAAGGGUAGGUAGGUGGUCUCAUUUGUCUGGGGUGAAAUCCUUGAGCUUAACUCAAGAAGUGCCCCAGAAACGGUGAGACUCGAGUACUGGAGAGGGUCGUGGAAUUCCCGGUGUAGCGGUGAAAUGCGUAGAGAUCGGGAGGAAAACCAGCGGCGAAGGCGGCGACCUGGACAGUAACUGACACUCAACUACGAAAGCGUGGGGAGCAAACAGG
rnacentral:rRNA from 1 species